rnacentral:lncRNA from 1 species
GUGUUUUCAAAGACUAAGCUUAUGUUUGCAUUGAUCUCUAUUAUAUUUUCAUUUCUACCUCACCUAUUUCUGCUCAUCUCUGCUACGUGGCUCCUUGUGCUUGCUUUGGCUUCUUACUUUCCAUACCUCUGCCAUGAAAUUUUAAAUCACAGACUUUCAGAGCUGGAAGGAAACAGACCCGCUCUCCCGCCUCGUUUUACAAAGAAGCCCAGAGGGGAAGGGCAUGUGCCUGAAAUCCUGCAGCUGGUAAGAGAGCAUCCACAUUCUCGAUUCCGGCUUCUCCCCUUGCUCACCACCCUCCUCCACUCGUCACUCUCUCUCCUGCCCUGUUCCUCCUUCCCCUGACCCACAAGACAGCAAGAUUGUCAGGCUGACACAAUUCAGAAGAAAUAGGCAAACAUCUCCCUCAAAAGACACAUAAGAACUUAGGAGGAGGGGGGCAAGAAUCCGACUGCAGCUGCUCAGGUGGCUGCAGAAGCCCAGGUUCAAUCCUGGCCCCGUGCAGUGGGUUAAGGAUCUGGUGUUGCUGCAGCUGGGGCUUGGAUACAAUCACUGGUCCAGGAACUCAAUAUGCCGUGGGGAGCAGAGGGAGAUGUCACAGGUAAUCAAAUACAGGACAAUUUUAUAAAACAAAACUCAGGCUGCCUUCUAGAAGGUUGUGGUUGGAUCUAUUAAAAAUUCUGAUAUUCACAGCAGUUAUUUGGCAAGAAGCAAAAAUAGAUGGUAUCGUAAUGAACUGGGUAUCGGUGUCAGAAUGCAAAGGUCGCCUUACAUUUUAGGUUAAACAGAUGAGCACGCCCAGCCGUAAAAUGUACUGAAUUGUGUGUAAAAAGCACUGGCCCUGAGAGGGUGAAAGAGGAGCUGAGGUCUGACUUCUGGGCUCCCGUCCUGCCCUGUCUGGCCACCCCUGGGAUGUCAGGACUCUAGUGGCCUUGAGAUCCAGGGCUCUUCCUUUUCUAAAGACUGUGGCUAAGGAAGACUCUGAUGUUGGUCACAUCUAGUAAGCAGACAUUGCUCAGGCGCCCUCUCCAGGGCAUUUCUACUCAAAGUUUUCCUUCAGCGGGAGCUCAAAGGCUUUCUUUCGUGUCUUAAGAAAUUUGAAGCAGAGUUGAUAAGGUCGGUAGGUAUGGGCAGGGGCUCCCCGGGUGCCCGGAAAUCAUUCCAUCCGCACUAAGACCUGAACAUUUCGGCACAAACUUACCAUGUCCUUCAAAAAAAAGUCUAGUCCCUAAGAGUGUGUGCACAUGUGCGCACGCGCGCACACACACACACACACACUGGUCCAGUGUCUGAGAUACUGAUGCAGUGUGAUGCGCUGAGAGAGGUCAAGAGAACAGUAUUUCCAAGAUGUAUCCAACCACAAGACAUUUUCUUCAAGUAGCAUCCACAGGUCUGGGUUAAAUAACGCCACCCCCCGAAGAAAAGAAAGACGCCUUUACCUGGAACCUCAGAAUGUGACUUAGCUUGGAAUGAAGGAAAUUAAGAAUCUUGAGAUGAGACGAUCCCGGAUCGCUUAGGGUGGCCCUAAAUC